GACGAACGCUGGCGGCGUGCUUAACACAUGCAAGUCGAACGGAAAGGCCCUGCUUUUGUGGGGUGCUCGAGUGGCGAACGGGUGAGUAACACGUGAGUAACCUGCCCUUGACUUUGGGAUAACUUCAGGAAACUGGGGCUAAUACCGGAUAGGAGCUCCUGCUGCAUGGUGGGGGUUGGAAAGUUUCGGCGGUUGGGGAUGGACUCGCGGCUUAUGAGCUUGUUGGUGGGGGAGUGGCUUACCAAGGCUUUGACGGGUAGCCGGCCUGAGAGGGUGACCGGCCACAUGGGGACUGAGAUGCGGCCCAGACUCCUACGGGAGGCAGCAGUGGGGAAUAUUGCACAAUGGGCGGAAGCCUGAUGCAGCAACGCCGCGUGCGGGAUGACGGCCUUCGGGUUGUAAACCGCUUUCGCCUGUGACGAAGCGUGAGUGACGGUAAUGGGUAAAGAAGCACCGGCUAACUACGUG
rnacentral:rRNA from 1 species